UUUAAAAUCAUAUUUGUGAGAUAUUUGUCGUCAGGUAAUGUUUUUAUUAGUUAGAAAAGCCCCUGUUUUGAAUAGUGAUAAAACUGUAACUUAUAUGUGGAUAAUAUGGCUAAAAACGGCUAAGAAUGAUGGCAGCCGUCAGUUCAGUAACGUUAAUCUGUUAAGUUGAUUGUGCUCGGGGUUUUAACAAACUCAUUUAAGUUACAAUUGUCCUUUUACGCUCGUCAUUCCCAAUUAAAUGAUCAAUAAGACGUGUUAUAUGAAGAACAGCGUCGAAACGGGAGCUUGAAUGAAUGAAUCAUAUGCUGUCCGUUUUAUACAGUUGUAAUAGGUGCCGAAUUCUGCUUUUGUACUGGUUUUAGCUCAAACACUGAACGAACAGUCUCUUUUUGGUAACGUUAAUCCUAAUGAUCUUGAUUUGCUUGUUAAUGUGUGUUUUAUCAAGUUUCAGCAAACGUUUACAGAGUAACGUUAUGUGGUUCAUGCUGGCCACUGUUGAGACUGGUCUGCAUUAAAAAAAUUUUAAAGCCAAAACGUUUGAAAAAAAAAUCCACAGUUGAAACAUGAUGUGUUAAAUGACUUAUGAAGGAAAUUAAUAAGCUAAAAAAGAAGGCUAAGUGUGUUAUGAAAUAUUAAACCUUGUUAAAAAAUAAAAUCAAUUGUGUUAAAUAAGCUUAAAAUCCAUAUCUUAUGUUUUAUAUUACUUCAAAACAGCCUGGAAACUGAAUUGCACCAUUAAUCUUGUACUUAUGUAUCAAGUCCAAACAAAUGGUUUUGUGGCAAGUAAAAAUAAUAUUUUUAUAAAUUGAUUGUAUUGUAUUAAUUUGUUACAGAAAAGAAAGGAAUCAUGCAAGGAUGCAAGCUGAAGGAAAGGACAACUCUCACAUCAGUGCAUUACUAAUUGUUUGACUUCAUCAUCAAGCACACCAGCUCAGAUUGUGAUGGACCUGGAAUGCGACACCAGUUACUCUUAAGUCAAGAACCAAAUGAAGCACCAGAGUACAGAUUAUGGAGAUAUCUGAAGUUGAACUAACUGGAAGCAGGGAACCAUACUAAUAAAGUUCCUUAAGCAGGUUCCUUGUAAAGAUGAACCCAGGGAAGGAUCGAAAGUGGAGAAGACCAGAUCAAGAAAGACUACAUCAAGAUCUGCGGUCAGUUCAAAGGUACUUUCACUAAUUACCAAGAUUUCAGACUAUGAAUUGAUGGAGAGAACUUUGAGUGUCAGAUCUUCCUACAUCGCCUAGCAAAAAUUCUUCCCAGUGUCUUGUAGUAGAAGUGAUGCAGUCAAUCGAGUUUACAUUAUUUCGUAAAUUGCUUUCUGAUUUAAUAAAAAAUAUAUUAACCAAACUUGAUUAAUGUAACAAUUUUGAAGAAAAGGGCAUGUUUUACUAGAGCUUUUAGCACAAAGGCACCCCCAUCUUGGAAUAUUGCUGUGUCUGACGUCACGGGGUUGGUAUGCUGGAAACGUUUUUGAAUGAGGUAUUUGUAUGAUUUAUACAUAGUCUGUCUUAAAGCGUAACUAAAUUGUACAGGCAUUACAGGUCAAAGCAAUCUGUUGUUACAUUUAUCAUUAUAAACAAUAA